AUACGUAGGUGGCAAGCGUUGUCCGGAAUUAUUGGGCGUAAAGCGCGCGCAGGCGGUCCUUUAAGUCUGAUGUGAAAUCCCACGGCUCAACCGUGGAUGGUCAUUGGAAACUGGAGGACUUGAGCACAGAAGAGGAGAGAGGAAUUCCACGUGUAGCGGUGAAAUGCGUAGAGAUGUGGAGGAACACCAGUGGCGAAGGCGACUCUCUGGUCUGUAACUGACGCUGAGGCGCGAAAGCGUGGGUAGCGAACAGGAUUAGAUACCCUGGUAGUCCACGCCGUAAACGAUGAGUGCUAAGUGUUAGAGGGUUUCCGCCCUUUAGUGCUGCAGUAAACGCAUUAAGCACUCCGCCUGGGGAGUACGGCCGCAAGGCUGAA
rnacentral:rRNA from 1 species